GAGUCCAUGGCCGCGUGCGUGAUACAUGCGGUCGGCAACCCAUCUUCAUCUGUUCCAUGCUGUUGACCGAGUCGACACAGUGAAGCUUCGUGAAGUCAACUGCGUUGACCGUGUCAACACGGGAUGCACAUCUUGCUGUGAGUCGAUCCACGCCACUUCGCUCCUCUUUUCUUCACCUUUUCGUCGAUGAAGAUGGAGGAGGGUCGAAGCCAUCAUCCAUCCAUCUGCAAUUUACCACCAUUUGGAGAAAGGAAAGCGAAAGAUUUCUGCAAUAAAUGACGGCAUCUUUGAUGGCCCCAUCGGUGCUUGGUAAGACGAAGAAGCAAGGCAGGAAGGGACCAUGCGGCGGUCACUCAUCUCGGCUGCAACUUGUGCCUGGUUGCAGGCAUUAUUUACCUCUCUGGCUAUCUCAUGUUAAUUGCACUUGAGAGAGCUCACUUCACCUUGACAUUACUCUUUCUCUUGCAUACAAACCAGCAUUCUAGAUAGAUAUUAGGCUUGCCCAUACAUGUUUCUCUCUAUUUCCUUUCACCAUUUUCCUUCCUCUCUGACCUCUCUGCUUGUUCUUUUCAGAUAAUUAUUGGUAGGAUGGGCAGCAAAAGAGUCGGGGAUAGGGUCAGGUAUCAUCAGACAAGGGAACAUGGGCAUAUGGCACUAAAAUAAAGCCGGUCGCGACUUGAUCUUGUCCCUGUAAUCUUCCUCCAACGGCAGUCCCACAAUAUGUCGUUCUCACAAUUUGUAUUUAAGGUGAUGUACACGAUUUUUU
rnacentral:lncRNA from 1 species